AGUGAACGCUGGCGGUAGGCCUAACACAUGCAAGUCGAACGGCAGCACAGUAAGAGCUUGCUCUUACGGGUGGCGAGUGGCGGACGGGUGAGGAAUACAUCGGAAUCUACUUUUUCGUGGGGGAUAACGUAGGGAAACUUACGCUAAUACCGCAUACGACCUACGGGUGAAAGCAGGGGAUCUUCGGACCUUGCGCGAUUGAAUGAGCCGAUGUCGGAUUAGCUAGUUGGCGGGGUAAAGGCCCACCAAGGCGACGAUCCGUAGCUGGUCUGAGAGGAUGAUCAGCCACACUGGAACUGAGAUACGCACCAGACUCCGACGAGAGGCAGCAGUGGUGAAUAUUGGACAAUGGGCGCAAGCCUGAUCCAGCCAUACCGCGUGGGUGAAGAAGGCCUUCGCGUUGUAAAGCCCUUUUGUUGGGAAAGAAAAGCAGCAGGUUAAUACCCCGCUGUUCUGACGGUACCCAAAGAAUAAGCACCGGCCAACUUCGUG
rnacentral:rRNA from 1 species